AGACAUACUUAUCCUGACGGUCUUUUGCUCCAUUAAACAAAUCCAUCAAUACGCUGUCAGUGUAAAAGUACAUCUGCACAGGAUAUUACACAGAGUUAACAGCAAGGAUGAGCAUCAUCAGACACCUGUCAAAGCCCACACCCCAGCAAAGAGAUCAUUGCUAACAGCUCAUCAGUUCAUCAACAUCAGUCUCUUGGCUACCAUGAGAGCGCAAAGAAUCACAUUUUCUCUAAUUGACGGGUCUCUCCUAUCCUUGCCUUCUGAUGCAAAAUCCAG